AGCAGCCGCGGUAAUUCCAGCUCCAAUAGCGUAUAUUAAAGUUGCUGCAGUUAAAAAGCUCGUAGUUGAAUUUCGGGACCAUCAUGUCGGUCGUGCCUCGGUACGUACUGGCAUUGUUGGUUUCUACCUUCUGACGAACCAUGAUGUCAUUUAUUUGGUGUCGUGGGAAAUCAGGACUGUUACUUUGAAAAAAUUAGAGUGUUUAAAGCAGGCUCACGCUUGAAUACAUUAGCAUGGAAUAAUGAAAUAGGACGUUUGAUUCUAUUUUGUUGGUUUCUAGGAUCGACGUAAUGAUUAAUAGGGAUAGUUGGGGGCAUUAGUAUUCAAUUGUCAGAGGUGAAAUUCUUGGAUUUAUUGAAGACUAACUACUGCGAAAGCAUUUGCCAAGGAUGUUUUUCAUUAAUCAAGAACGAAAGUUAGGGGAUCGAAGACGAUCAGAUACCGUCGUAGUCUUAACCAUAAACUAUGCCGACUAGGGAUCGGAUGAUGUUAAUUUUUUAAUGACUCAUUCGGCGCCUUA
rnacentral:rRNA from 1 species